UGCCUCUCUGUCCUUCCUCCUCUACUUCCUGGCUGGGGCACAGGAAAGGAAUCGCACAGAGACGGUUGUCUGCUAGCAUGGCCAGCUCCGAGUUUCAGUUACAUUGAUCACUGGCUCUUGUGUAGUUUUCCGAUGGCACAAAGGGGAUUCUAGGGCAGCUUUCCCUUCAGUGCCCUUUCGCUAGGGCUCACCGUUCUGUCCAGCAUGUGUGCAGAAAGAGAAGAUCCCUGGGGUGACGUUUUGAAGACUAUCACAGGGAGCCAUUCUGUCUGCAUCCUGUCUCGGUCACUGCUUGUCUAAGUACCAGAGAGCUGCUCCCCAGUGUGUCCAGGCCUCCAUCACCACUGGGACCCCAACAUCUGGUUCCCAGGAUUCUGAGCAAGAACAAGGAGGUGAUGUUGUAGGAAAAAUAGUUAUGAGGCCCACCCAGAUACCAUCAUACCCCAGCCAGAAGCCCGCCUGGACACCAGUGGCUUGGGCGUGCAGGCCCCAGCCAAAGGGCUCAAGGAAAACAGCUGUGCGGGGCCCCGGAGAGAGGCCUGCCCAGACAACAGCCCAGCGUGGGGAUCUAGAAGGCCAUCAUUGUGAACCCAGGAAUUGGCUCAGAGGAAUUUGGGAAAAGAGUUGAGCGAUAAGAUGAGCUCAAGGAGACAAAAUCGGAUGAAAAUGGGGAGCUCUGGCAGCAAAUCCACAUAAGGACGCUUCUUAGGGAGACAAGUGGGACCUCGGCUGCACACGUCCCUCUGGGCUUGGAAGGUGGCCUCGAUUUGGAGCUCAGACCUGGUGGGAAACCUCCAAUGCUGUUGCCUUCCAGGAACUGCCAGCAGCCUGCAAGGGGCCUUUGGCCUGGCCUGGGCACCACCCUGCCUCAGCCACUGCGACUUUAGCUUGUCUUCAUUCUUUGUAUCUCAGAAUCCUCAGUGGCAAAAUAGGGUUAGUAAUAAAAGACACCUAUAGAAGCCCCUAGAACAAAGUGUGACUCAUAGUCAGAGCUUAAAAAAUGUUUAGCUACUAUCACUGUGUAGGAGGGAAUCAGGAGGAAGGGAAAGGGACUGAACCUGGGGACUUGUGCUUGCUAGUCAAGUGGCCCUACCACGGAGCCACACGCCCAGGCCACUAGAGCAGAGCUUCUUACACGUGAAUGGCACCGAAAUCACCUGGGGACACCUGGGGAUCUCUGUGGAGAGCAGACUGACGUGGUAAGUCUGGGAGAGCCAGGGCUCUGUGUUUCUCCCUGAUGGUGCUGCACUUGGGGUUCACGGACUCGGGGUCCCAAGGAAGUGGCCUGCACAGCCCACAGACCUUUUGGCGAUGAUACAGUUCUCACUCACAAUAAGCACUUUUGCUUAUGGAAUGCUUGAAAUGAGGCUGCUGGAGGAUGAUGUUUUAAUUUAUUUAACUGCAGUGCCAAUAACCACAUGUGCUCAGCGGCUGCCUUACUGGACAGCACGCUCUGCACAGGACGUCAAGCUCACAGUUCCGAUCCUUGGCAGAGUCGUCAAAACCAAAACAGUGUGUGCAACCUGAACAAGACUAUCUACAUACCUGGAAAAUGUGCUCAACAUAUGUGCUCUGACACUGUAAGUGUCAGCAAAAUAUACUUUCCACGUGCAGAUG
ensembl:lncRNA